rnacentral:sRNA from 1 species
AUAUACCCACGUACACUCCGAUUCCUCCACGCGGCCGCAUCCAGCUGACGACUUCUCGCUACGUGUUGUCAGCC